GUUGUUGCUCAGUGGUAGAGCGCUCGCUUCACACGUGCGAGGCCCUGAUUCGAUCCCCAGAACCACA
rnacentral:tRNA from 1 species